CACGUGAUCGGGAUGCCGCGGUCUCCUCCCCUACUCUCGUCAUCAGAUUCUGGUGGCGAUGACGUGGGGGAGGGGUCACGUGGGUGCCCCGGUCAUGUGAUCCCAUCCCAGGAGCCUUUCUAAUCUAUACACACAUGCGCAGUGCACUUUCUACCCACGCCAGCGCCACCAUUAACAGAGCGAAUUGUUUGAUUUCAUUUUCUGUACAUGGUAACUGAGGCGACCAUGUUGUCUGAUAUGAUUUGAGCAGAAAUGACAGAUCUGCUUUACAGCGCCCCUAUGGAUCGUAGGACCUGGAGUCUGGAGACGACUCAUUGACUAUUAAUGAGUGCUGUGGACAUGCUCUUUGACCUGUGCAGAGAGAAGCUGUGACCAUCACUUCUAUGGAUCACGGGGGUCCCAGCGGUCGGACACCCGCUGUCAAACAGUUAUCCUCUAUCCUGUGGAUAGGGUAUAUGUUAUUUUUCACGAUGUAGGGCAGUGACGGUAUACCGGGGUGACUCCGCACUGCGAUGAUGAAUGCUCUCGGUAAACAGAUGGAUGGCUCAGUCACUAAUGGAUCGCUUUAUAAGGAUGACAUUAUAAAGUACAACUAGUUCUGCAACAUACAAGCCCUCAUAUGGCGAUGUAGAUGGAAAAAUAAAAGAAUAAAGAGUUAUGGCUUUUAGGAAGAGAGGAGGAAAAACUAAAAUUUUUAACAUUUUUCUUUGCUGCAAUAGGCAAAAAAAUAUAAUAAAUAAAAUUGAAAUUAGAAAGAACAUUUCUUUUGAAG